AAGUCUUCCUUCUUCAUGGAAAUUAGCUGAUGUUAUUCCAGUACCAAAACAAAGCCCCGUCGAAGAUGUCAAUAACCACCUUAGACCCAUCUCCCUGACACCGGCUAUUUCUAAAGUUGCAGAGGAGUUUGCUGUGAAAUUGUACGUUGCGCCAGCUGUUCUCGAGAUCAUCGACCCUAGCCAGUUUGGAGCCAUACCGAAGUCCUCGACAGUACACGCCCUUAUCUCUAUGAUCCAUCAUUGGGCCCAAGCAACGGACAGUACAGGAGCCGCAGUUAGAGUGGUCUUAUUUGACUACAAAAAAGCGUUUGACCUAAUUGACCACCAAAUUCUGGUACAAAAGAUCCUUAGCCUAAAUAUUCCCCGGAGCAUCGCGCGCUGGGUAGCUGAUUUCUUAACGAACCGUAAACAACGUGUCAAACUUUCACAUGACUGCUUUUCCGAAUGGGGAG